rnacentral:rRNA from 1 species
AGCGAACGCUGGCGGCAGGCCUAACACAUGCAAGUCGAACGGAUCCUUCGGGAUUAGUGGCGGACGGGUGAGUAACACGUGGGAACGUGCCCUUUGGUUCGGAGCAACUCAGGGAAACUUGAGCUAAUACCGGAUGUGCCCUUCGGGGGAAAGAUUUAUCGCCAUUGGAGCGGCCCGCGUCGGAUUAGCUAGUUGGUGGGGUAAAGGCCCACCAAGGCGACGAUCCGUAGCUGGUCUGAGAGGAUGAUCAGCCACAUUGGGACUGAGACACGGCCCAAACUCCUACGGGAGGCAGCAGUGGGGAAUCUUGCGCAAUGGCGAAAGCCUGACGCAGCCAUGCCGCGUGAAUGAUGAAGGUCUUAGGAUUGUAAAAUUCUUUCACCGGGGACGAUAAUGACGGUACCCGGAGAAGAAGCCCCGGCUAACUUCGUGCCAGCAGCCGCAGUAA